UUCGUGUGUGUGUGUGUGUGUGUGUGUGUAUAUAUAUAUAUAUAUAUAUAAAACUCCACACACCCACACACAGUCACACAUGAG
rnacentral:miRNA from 1 species